AACGAACGCUGGCGGCAUGCCUAACACAUGCAAGUCGAACGAGACCUUCGGGUCUAGUGGCGCACGGGUGCGUAACGCGUGGGAACCUGCCCUUAGGUUCGGAAUAACUCCCCGAAAGGGGUGCUAAUACCGGAUAAUGUCUUCGGACCAAAGAUUUAUCGCCUUUGGAUGGGCCCGCGUUGGAUAGCUAGUUGGUAGGGUAAAAGCCUACCAAGGCGACGAUCCAUAGCUGGUCUGAGAGGAUGAUCAGCCACACUGGGACUGAGACACGGCCCAGACUCCUACGGGAGGCAGCAGUGGGGAAUAUUGGACAAUGGGCGAAAGCCUGAUCCAGCAAUGCCGCGUGAGUGAUGAAGGCCUUAGGGUUGUAAAGCUCUUUUACCCGGGAUGAUAAUGACAGUACCGGGAGAAUAAGCUCCGGCUAACUCCGUG
rnacentral:rRNA from 1 species